GGCGGCGGCGGCGGCGCCGAGAGUGUGAGCACUGCCCGGCAGCCGCCGGCCCGGGCGCAGCGCGACCCCGACCCCGCCCGCCCGCCUGCCCGCCAUGGGCAACGAGGCCAGCCUGGAGGGCGGCGCUGGCGACGGGCCGCUGCCGCCCGGAGGCGCCGGCCCCGGCCCCGGCCCCGGCCCCAGCCCCGGCGCAGGAAAGCCUCCUUCAGCACCGGCCGGCGGCGGACAGCUCCCCGCGGCUGGAGCAGCGCGGUCGACCGCUGUACCACCGGUCCCUGGCCCCGGCCCCGGCCCCGGCCCCGGCCCUGGCCCGGGCAGCACUUCCCGGAGACUGGACCCCAAGGAACCCCUGGGUAGCCAGAGAGCAGCUUCCCCAACUCCGAAACAAGCUUCUGCUACCACUCCUGGCCAAGAGAGCCCCCGGGAGACAAGGGCACAGGGACCAGCAGGCCAGGAGGCUGAUGGUCCCCGCAGGACACUGCAGGUAGACAGCAGGACACAGAGAUCAGGGCGGUCCCCCUCAGUGUCACCGGACAGAGGCAGCACCCCUACAUCACCCUACUCCGUCCCUCAGAUCGCUCCCCUUCCCAGCAGCACGCUAUGUCCCAUAUGCAAGACUUCGGACCUCACGUCGACCCCCAGCCAGCCAAACUUCAACACCUGCACCCAGUGUCACAACAAGGUCUGCAACCAGUGUGGGUUCAACCCCAACCCUCAUCUCACCCAGGUGAAGGAGUGGCUCUGUCUGAACUGUCAGAUGCAGAGGGCUCUGGGAAUGGACAUGACCACUGCACCUCGCUCCAAGAGCCAGCAGCAGCUGCACUCCCCAGCCCUGUCUCCUGCCCACUCCCCGGCCAAACAGCCCCUGGGGAAGCCAGAGCAAGAGAGAUCUCGGGGUCCAGGAGGACUACAGCCUGGGUCCCGCCAGGGUGAGACGGCCAGGGCCACCUCAGUGCCAGAGCCUGCCCAAGCAGCUGCCCCUCCAGAGGUGGGGAGGGUGUCUCCUCAGCCCCCUCAACCCACCAAGCCUUCCACAGCUGAGCCCAGGCCACCUGCAGGAGAGGCCCCAGCCAAAAGUGCCACUGCAGUGCCCACUGGGCUUGGUGCCACCGAGCAGACCCAGGAGGGCCUCACUGGUAAGCUCUUCGGCCUUGGCGCAUCGCUGCUAACCCAGGCGAGCACCCUCAUGUCUGUGCAGCCUGAGGCUGACACCCAGGGCCAGCCUGGCCCCAGCAAGGGGUCACCCAAGAUCGUCUUCAGUGAUGCCAGCAAGGAGGCUGGCCCAAAACCCUUGGGCUUAGGGCCCGGACCCGGGCCAGCACCUGGAGCCAAAACUGAGCCUGGGGCUAGAACGGGUCCAACGGGUCCUGGAUCUGGACCUGGAGCCCUGCCGAAAACUGGGGGAACAACCAGUCCAAAGCAUGGAAGAGCAGAACAUCAGGCAGCAUCGAAGGCUGCUGCCAAGCCAAAGACCAUGCCGAAGGAAAGGGCCACCUGCCCACUGUGCCAAGCCGAGCUUAAUGUGGGCAGCAAGAGCCCAGCCAACUAUAACACAUGCACUACCUGCAGGCUCCAGGUGUGCAACCUGUGUGGCUUUAACCCAACACCCCACUUGGUGGAGAAAACAGAGUGGCUGUGUCUGAACUGCCAAACCAAGCGGCUACUGGAGGGCAGCCUGGGAGAGCCGACCCCUGUGCUGCCACCCACCUCACAGCAGCCCCCUGUGGGGGCCCCUCACCGUGCAUCUGGAGCAUCCCCUCUGAAGCAGAAAGGGUCACAGGGGCUGGGCCAGCCAUCAGGCCCCCUGCCUGCCAAGGCCAGCCCUUUACCCACCAAGGCCAGCCCUCUAUCCACCAAGGCCAGCCCUCUGCCCACCAAGGCCAGCCCCCAGGCCAAGCCCCUCAGAGCUUCUGAACCCAGCAAGACCCCAAGCAGUGCCCAGGAAAAGAAGACCGGAGUCCCCACUAAAGCUGAGCCCAUGUCGAAGCCACCUCCAGAGACUACCCCAACCCCUGGGACUCCUAAAGUAAAGAGUGGGGUGAGGAGGGCUGAACCUGCCACCCCUGUCGUCAAGGCUGUUCCAGAAGCCCCCAAGGGUGGGGAGGCGGAGGACCUGGUGGGCAAGCCUUACUCUCAGGACAUGUCUCGGAGCCCACAGAGCCUCAGUGACACAGGCUAUUCCUCCGACGGCAUCUCUAGCUCCCAGAGUGAGAUCACAGGAGUCGUGCAGCAGGAGGUGGAACAGCUGGACAGCGCAGGGGUGACAGGGCCACAUCCACCCAGCCCCUCCGAGAUCCACAAGGUGGGGAGCAGCAUGCGGCCUUUGCUGCAGGCCCAGGGCCUGGCCCCCAGUGGUGAGCGGAGCAAGCCACUCUCCAGCAGUACUGGCGAGGAGCAGAAGCAGCGGCCCCACUCCUUGUCCAUCACGCCUGAGGCCUUUGACUCUGAUGAGGAGCUGGAGGAUAUCCUGGAGGAAGACGAAGACUCUGUUGAGUGGAGGCGCCGGAGAGAGAAGCAGGACACUGCUGAGUCCUCAGACGACUUUGGCAGCCAACUGAGGCAUGACUAUGUGGAGGACAGCAGUGAGGGUGGCCUGUCACCUCUUCCACCCCAGCCCCCAGCCCGGGCAGCAGAAUUGACUGAUGAGGAGUUCAUGCGACGGCAGAUUCUGGAGAUGAGCGCCGAGGAAGACAACCUGGAGGAGGAUGACACUGCCACCUCCGGGCGUGGCCUGGCCAAACAUGGCACCCAGAAGGGUGGCCCCAGACCCAGGCCUGAGCCUAGCCAAGAACCAGCACCACUGCCCAAGAGGCGCCUGCCCCACAAUGCCACCACAGGCUAUGAGGAGCUGCUCCCUGAGGGAGGCCCAGCAGAAGCUACCGAUGGCAGUGGGGCCCUGCAGGGUGGGCUCCGUCGCUUCAAGACCAUUGAGCUCAACAGCACGGGCAGUUAUAGUCAUGAGCUGGACCUGGGCCAAGGCCCAGACCCCAGUCUGGACCGGGAGCCCGAGCUGGAGAUGGAGAGCCUGACAGGCUCCCCUGAGGACCGUUCCCGUGGUGAGCACUCCUCUACACUGCCUGCCUCCACACCCAGCUACACCUCAGGCACCUCUCCCACCUCUCUGUCCUCCCUAGAGGAGGACAGUGACAGCAGCCCCAGCCGCAGGCAGCGUCUAGAAGAAGCGAAGCAGCAGCGCAAGGCCCGGCACCGUUCCCAUGGGCCCCUGCUACCCACCAUUGAGGACUCUUCGGAGGAGGAGGAGCUGCGGGAGGAAGAGGAGCUACUGCGUGAGCAAGAGAAGAUGCGGGAGGUGGAGCAGCAGCGCAUCCGCAGCACGGCCCGCAAGACCCGGCGGGACAAGGAAGAGCUGCGGGCCCAGCGGAGGCGAGAGCGCUCUAAGACACCACCCAGUAACUUGUCACCCAUUGAGGAUGCCUCCCCCACGGAGGAGCUGAGGCAGGCGGCCGAGAUGGAGGAGCUGCACCGCUCCUCCUGCUCCGAGUACUCACCCUCGCCCUCCCUUGACUCUGAGGCUGAGGCCUUGGAUGGUGGCCCUAGCCGGCUUUACAAGUCAGGCAGUGAGUACAACCUGCCCACCUUCAUGUCCCUCUACUCACCAACCGAGACACCCUCUGGCAGCUCCACCACUCCCAGUUCCGGACGGCCCCUCAAGAGCGCCGAGGAGGCUUAUGAGGAGAUGAUGCGCAAAGCUGAGCUGCUUCAGAGGCAGCAAGGCCAGGCGGCAGGGGCCCGGGGACCCCAUGGCGGCCCCUCUCAGCCCACAGGCCCCAGGGGCCUGGGCUCCUUCGAAUAUCAAGACACUGCAGACCAUGACUAUGGCCGGGCUGCUCAGCCUGCCGCAGAGGGCACGCCAGCCAGCCUGGGAGCAGCUGUGUAUGAAGAAAUCCUUCAGACAUCACAGAGCAUAGUCCGCAUGCGGCAGGCCUCCUCACGAGACCUGGCUUUUGCUGAGGACAAAAAGAAGGAGAAGCAGUUUCUAAAUGCUGAGAGUGCAUACAUGGACCCAAUGAAGCAAAAUGGUGGCCCCCUUACCCCUGGUACCAGUCCCACCCAGCUCACGGCCCCUGUGUCCUUCUCUACCCCCACCUCCUCAGACAGCAGCGGGGGCCGAGUUAUUCCCGAUGUCCGUGUCACUCAGCAUUUUGCAAAGGAGACUCAGGACCCCCUCAAGCUGCACAGCUCUCCUGCCUCCCCCAGCUUAACCUCCAAGGAGGUAGGCAUGCCCUUUUCCCAGGGCCCUGGGACCCCAGCCACCACAGCUGUGGCUCCUUGUCCGGCUGGGCUGCCACGAGGAUAUAUGACUCCAGCCUCCCCAGCAGGCUCCGAGCGCAGUCCUUCACCAUCUUCCACAGCCCACAGCUAUGGACACAGCCCAACCACUGCAAACUAUGGGUCCCAAACUGAGGAUCUACCCCAGGCCCCCAUUGGCCUUGCUGCAGCUGGACAGGCUGCUAGAGAGAAGCCCCUGAGUGCGAGUGAUGGUGAGGGUGGCACUCCUCAGCCUUCCCGGGCAUAUUCCUACGUUGCAAGCUCCAGCCCACCUCUCUCCCCAUCUUCCCCCUCAGAGAGUCCCACAUUCUCCCCUGGCAAGCUGCGCCCAAGGGCCACAGCAGAGUUCUCUACACAGACGCCAAGUCCAGCCCCUGCCUCAGACAUGCCACGGAGCCCUGGUGCCCCCACUCCAUCACCUAUGGUAGCUCAGGGCACACAAACACCACAUCGACCCAGCACACCUCGCCUGGUGUGGCAGGAGUCCUCUCAGGAGGCUCCCUUUAUGGUCAUCACACUGGCAUCAGACGCCUCCAGCCAGACCAGAAUGGUACAUGCCAGUGCCUCCACCUCCCCGCUCUGCUCACCUACUGAAAUCCAGCCCACCACCCAUGGCUACAGCCAGACAACACCUCCGAGUGUGUCUCAGCUGCCCCCAGAGCCACCUGGGCCACCUGGCUUUCCACGGGCACCCAGUGCUGGUGCGGACGGGCCCCUGGCACUAUAUGGCUGGGGUGCCCUCCCUGCUGAGAACAUCUCCCUGUGCCGGAUCUCCUCUGUCCCUGGGACAUCUAGGGUUGAGCCAGGCCCCAGGCCCCCUGGCACUGCAGUGGUAGACCUCCGCACAGCUGUCAAGCCCACUCCCAUCAUCCUCACUGACCAGGGCAUGGACCUCACCUCUCUUGCUGUGGAAGCGAGGAAGUAUGGUCUUGCCCUGGAUCCAAUCCCAGGACGGCAGUCGACUGCCGUGCAGCCCUUGGUUAUCAACCUCAAUGCCCAGGAGCAGACCCAUACCUUCCUUGCCACUGCCACCACAGUGAGCAUCACCAUGGCCUCGUCUGUGCUCAUGGCUCAACAAAAGCAGCCUGUGGUCUAUGGAGACCCCUACCAGAGCCGCCUUGAUUUUGGCCAGGGUGGGGGUAGCCCUGUGUGCCUGGCCCAGGUCAAACAAGUGGAGCAGGCUGUCCAGACAGCCCCAUACCGAAGUGGGCCCCGGGGAAGACCCAGGGAGGCCAAGUUUGCCAGAUAUAAUCUGCCCAACCAAGUAGCACCUCUGGCCAGAAGGGACGUUUUGAUCACUCAGAUGGGCACCGCCCAGAGCAUUGGCCUCAAGCCAGGCCCAGUGCCAGAGCUGGGUGCCGAGCCCCACCGGGCUACCCCUGCAGAGUUGCGGUCACAUGCUCUGCCAGGUGCCAGGAAGCCACACACAGUGGUGGUGCAGAUGGGAGAGGGCACAGCAGGCACUGUGACCACACUGCUCCCAGAGGAGCCUGCGGGUGCCCUGGACCUUACCGGGAUGAGGCCUGAGAGCCAGCUGGCAUGCUGUGACAUGGUCUACAAGCUCCCCUUUGGCAGCAGCUGCACUGGCACCUUCCACCCAGCCCCCAGUGUGCCUGAGAAGAGCAUGGCAGAUACUGCCCCACCUGGCCAAAGCAGUGGCCCCUUCUAUGGUCCCCGGGACCCUGAGCCUCCUGAGCCCCCCACCUACCGGGCACAGGGGGCUGUGGGGCCUGGGCCCCAUGAGGAGCAGAGGCCCUACCCACAAGGCCUGCCUGGUAGGCUGUACUCCUCCAUGUCUGACACCAAUUUGGCUGAGGCUGGCCUCAACUACCAUGCCCAGAGGAUCGGGCAGCUCUUCCAGGGUCCUGGACGAGAGUCAGCUAUGGACCUCAGCUCACUGAAGCACUCCUACAGUCUGGGCUUUGCAGACGGACGCUACCUAGGGCAGGGCUUGCAGUAUGGCUCAGUCACGGACCUGCGUCAUCCUACAGACCUUUUGGCUCACCCGCUUCCUAUGCGGCGCUAUAGCUCAGUGUCAAACAUCUAUUCAGACCACAGGUACGGCCCACGGGGAGAGGCAGUUGGCUUCCAGGAGGCCAGCCUGGCCCAGUACAGUGCCACCACAGCCCGUGAAAUCAGUCGCAUGUGCGCUGCCCUCAACUCCAUGGACCAGUAUGGUGGGCGGCAUGGCAUUGGUGGUGGUGGCCCUGACCUUGUGCAGUACCAGCCUCAGCACGGGCCCGGGCUCAGUGCUCCGCAGAGUCUGGCUCCCCUCAGACCUGGACUCCUUGGUAACCCCACCUUUCCAGAGGGCCACCCAAGUCCUGGGAACUUUGCCCAGUAUGGGCCUGCAGCAGGCCAGGGAACAGCAGUCAGACAGCUGCUGCCGUCCACAGCCACUGUACGUGCAGCUGAUGGCAUGAUCUACUCGACUAUCAAUACCCCAAUUGCUGCAACACUGCCCAUCACCACCCAGCCUGCCUCAGUCCUGCGGCCCAUGGUGCGUGGUGGCAUGUACAGGCCUUAUGCAUCUGGUGGAAUCACAGCCGUGCCACUCACCAGUCUGACACGUGUGCCCAUGAUUGCCCCCCGGGUACCUCUUGGACCCACAGGGCUGUACCGAUAUCCUGCACCAAGUAGAUUUCCCAUUGCUUCCAGUGUUCCACCUGCAGAAGGGCCUGUCUAUCUGGGGAAACCUGCUGCUGCCAAGGCCUCCGGGGCUGGGGGCCCUCCAAGGCCAGAGAUACCAGUAGGGGCUGUACGGGAAGAGCCUCUUCCCACAACCACCCCUGCUGCCAUCAAGGAGGCUGCAGGAGCCCCAGCUCCUGCCCCACUAGCUGGCCAGAAGCCACCAGUAGAUGCUGCUCCUGGGGGUGGCAGUGGGGCCCUCAGCCGGUCAGGGCUCGAGAAAGAGGAAGCAUCACAGGAGGAGAGGCAGCGGAAGCAACAGGAGCAGCUGCUCCAGCUAGAGCGGGAGCGGGUGGAGUUGGAGAAGCUGCGACAACUUCGGCUGCAAGAGGAGCUAGAGCGGGAACGUGUGGAGCUGCAGAGACACCGUGAGGAGGAGCAGCUGCUGGUGCAGCGGGAAUUGCAGGAACUGCAGACCAUCAAGCACCAUGUGCUGCAGCAGCAGCAAGAGGAACGCCAGGCUCAAUUUGCACUGCAGCGGGAACAGCUAGCGCAGCAGCGUCUGCAGCUGGAGCAGAUCCAGCAGCUGCAGCAGCAGCUGCAGCAGCAGCUAGAGGAGCAGAAGCAGCGGCAGAAGGCUCCCUUUCCUGCAGCCUGUGAGGCACCUGGCCGAGGGCCUCCCCUAGCGGCUGCUGAGCUGGCCCAGAAUGGCCAGUAUUGGCCCCCGCUUACCCAUGCAGCCUUCAUUGCCAUGGCAGGGCCUGAAGGACCUGGGCAACCUCGUGAGCCUGUCUUGCACCGGGGUCUCCCCAGCUCUGCCUCAGACAUGUCACUGCAAACAGAGGAGCAGUGGGAGGCCAGCCGUGGUGGCAUCAAGAAGCGGCACUCCAUGCCACGCCUGCGGGAUGCCUGUGAGCCAGAGUCUGCGGCUGAGCCCUGUAUGGUCAGGAGGAUUGCCGACAGCAGCGUGCAGACAGACGAUGAGGAUGGGGAGGGCCGCUACCUCUUGAGUCGGCGACGCCGGGCACGGCGGAGUGCUGACUGCAGCGUGCAGACGGACGACGAGGACAGUGCUGAGUGGGAGCAGCCAGUGCGCCGCCGCAGGUCUCGUCUUCCCCGCCACUCAGACUCAGGCUCUGACAGCAAGCACGAUGCCACUGCCUCGUCAUCCAGUGCUGCUGCCACUGUGAGGGCCAUGAGCAGUGUGGGCAUCCAGACCAUCAGUGACUGCUCUGUGCAGACGGAGCCUGACCAGCUGCCCAGGGUCUCUCCAGCCAUCCACAUCACAGCUGCCACCGAUCCCAAGGUGGAGAUCGUCAGGUACAUAUCGGCGCCAGAGAAGACUGGGCGCGGGGAGAGCCUGGCCUGCCAGACGGAGCCAGAUGGGCAGGCCCAGGGUGUAGCCGGGCCGCAGCUUGUAGGGCCAACUGCCAUCAGCCCCUACCUGCCUGGCAUCCAGAUCGUCACCCCAGGGCCUCUGGGCAGAUUUGAAAAAAAGAAGCCAGAUCCCCUGGAGAUUGGGUACCAGGCCCACCUGCCUCCGGAGUCUCUCUCACAGCUUGUGAGCCGCCAGCCUCCCAAGUCCCCUCAGGUCCUCUACUCACCAGUCUCACCCCUGUCCCCUCACCGGCUCCUGGACACCUCCUUUGCUUCCAGUGAGAGGCUGAACAAGGCUCAUGUGAGUCCCCAGAAGCACUUCACGGCUGACAGCGCUCUCCGCCAGCAGACGCUGCCUCGCCCCAUGAAGACCCUGCAGCGGUCCUUGUCUGACCCUAAGCCCCUCAGCCCCACCGCUGAAGAGUCUGCCAAAGAGAGAUUCUCCCUCUACCAGCACCAGGGGGGACUGGGUAGCCAGGUGUCGGCGUUGCCACCCAACAGCCUGGUCCGCAAGGUGAAGCGGACACUGCCCAGCCCCCCUCCAGAGGAGGCUCACCUUCCCCUGGCUGGCCAGGCCUCCCCACAGCUGUAUGCAGCCAGCCUGCUGCAGCGAGGGCUGACGGGGCCCACCGCUGUCCCUGCUACCAAGGCCAGCCUGCUCCGGGAGCUGGACCGGGACCUGCGGCUGGUGGAGCAUGAGUCCACCAAGCUGCGCAAGAAGCAGGCGGAGCUGGAUGAGGAGGAGAAGGAGAUUGACGCCAAGCUCAAGUACCUGGAGCUGGGUAUCACACAACGCAAAGAGUCUUUGGCCAAAGACCGGGGUGGCCGUGACUACCCACCCUUGCGUGGUCUUGGUGAGCAUCGUGACUACCUGUCGGACAGUGAACUCAACCAGCUGCGGCUCCAGGGCUGCACCACUCCCGCUGGCCAGUACGUGGACUUCCCUGCCACUGCCACUGCUCCUGCCGCCCCCUCUGGUCCCACUGCCUUCCAGCAGGCCCGCUUCCAGCCUCCGACCCCACAGUAUUCUGCAGGCAGUGGUGGGCCAACUCAGAAUGGAUUCCCUGCCCACCAGGCCCCCACCUACCCUGGCCCCAACACGUACCCAGCUCCUGCCUUUCCUCCUGGCACCAGUUACCCAGCUGAGCCUGGCCUGCCAAACCAGCAGGCUUUCCGUCCCACAGGCCACUAUGCAGGUCAAACACCCAUGCCAACCACACAGAGCACCCUUUUUCCAGUCCCCACUGAUAGCCGUGCCCCACUGCAGAAGCCACACCAGACAUCGCUAGCUGACUUGGAGCAGAAGGUGCCCACCAACUAUGAGGUGAUCGCCAGCCCCGUUGUGGCCAUGUCUUCAGCCCCAUCUGAAACCAGCUACAGUGGCUCAGCAGUGAGCAGCGGCUAUGAGCAGGGCAAGGUCCCUGAGGUGCCCCGGGCUGGUGAACGUGGCAGUGCAAGCCAGAGUCCAGCCCCCACCUACCCCUCUGAUUCACACUAUACCAGUCUGGAGCAGAACGUUCCUCGAAACUACGUAAUGAUUGAUGACAUCAGUGAACUGACCAAGGACAGCACCUCUACUGCUCCUGAUAGCCAGCGGCUGGAGCCCCUGGGGCCAGGCAGCAGUGGGCGUCCAGGGAAGGAGCUUGGAGAACCAGGUGUCCUUGAGGGGCCUACACUGCCCUGCUGCUAUGCCAGAGGAGAAGAGGAAUCUGAGGAGGACUCAUACGACCCCCGCGGGAAGGGUGGCCACCUCCGGAGCAUGGAGAGCAAUGGUCGACCAGCCAGUAGCCACUACUAUGGUGACAGUGACUACAGGCAUGGGGCUCGAGCAGAGAAGUAUGGUCCAGGGCCCAUGGGGCCCAAGCAUCCCUCCAAGAGCCUGGCUCCAGCUGCCAUCUCCUCAAAGCGCAGCAAGCACCGGAAGCAGGGCAUGGAACAAAAGAUCUCCAAGUUCUCACCUAUUGAAGAGGCCAAGGACGUGGAGUCGGACCUGGCGUCCUACCCCCCACCUGCAGUCAGCAGCAGCCUGGUCUCUCGGGGCAGGAAGUUCCAGGAUGAAAUCACCUAUGGGCUCAAGAAGAAUGUGUAUGAGCAGCAGAGAUAUUAUGGGAUGUCCACCCGGGACACAGUGGAGGAGGACGACCGCAUUUAUGGUGGGAGCAGCCGGUCCCGGGCACCUUCUGCAUACAGUGGGGAGAAGCUGUCCAGCCACGACUUCAGUGGCCGGGGCAAGGGGUAUGAAAGGGAACGGGAGGCUGUGGAGCGACUUCAAAAAGCGGGCCCCAAGCCCUCAUCCCUAAGUAUGGCCCACAGCCGGGCACGACCCCCCAUGCGGAGCCAGGCCUCUGAAGAGGAGAGCCCCGUCAGCCCCUUGGGGAGGCCCCGCCCUGCCGGAGGGCCCCUCCCUCCCGGCGGGGAUACCUGCCCACAGUUCUGCUCCAGUCACUCCAUGCCUGAUGUCCAGGAGCAUGUCAAGGACGGACCUCGGGCCCACGCAUAUAAGCGUGAGGAGGGCUACAUCCUGGAUGAUUCCCACUGCGUGGUUUCCGACAGCGAAGCUUAUCACCUGGGCCAGGAGGAGACGGACUGGUUUGAUAAGCCCCGGGAUGCCCGCUCUGACCGGUUCAGGCACCACGGGGGCCAUGCAGUUUCCUCCUCCUCCCAGAAGCGAGGCCCUGCCAGGCACAGCUACCAUGACUACGAUGAACCCCCUGAGGAGGGCCUGUGGCCUCAUGAUGAGGGUGGCCCAGGCCGCCAUGCCUCAGCCAAGGAACACCGGCAUCACGGUGACCACGGGCGGCACUCAGGCCGCCACACUGGUGAGGAGCCAGGACGGCGUGCUGCCAAACCACACGCUCGGGACCUGGGUCGCCAUGAGGCCCGGCCCCACUCUCAGCCCAGCUCUGCUCCAGCUAUGCCGAAGAAGGGUCAGCCUGGGUACCCCAGCUCUGCUGAGUACUCACAGCCAUCCCGUGCUCCAUCCGCAUACCAUCAUGCCUCUGACAGCAAGAAGGGCUCCCGGCAAGCCCACCCCGGGCCCGCUGCACUGCAGUCAAAAGCAGAACCCCAGGCACAGCCACAGUUGCAAGGUCGGCAGGCAGCUCCAGGACCACAACAGUCACAGUCACCAUCAUCCAGGCAAAUGCCCUCUGGGGCAGCAUCGCGCCAGCCACAGCCACAGCAGCAGCAGCAGCAGCAGCAGCAACAGCAAGGUCUUGGGCUGCAGCCCCCACAACAGGCUCCGACGCAGGCUCGGCUGCAGCAACAGAGCCAGCCAACCGCCCGGGGCUCAGCCCCUGCUGCCAGCCAGCCUGCAGGGAAGCCUCAGCCAGGCCCCACCACAGCCACAGGCCCUCAACCAGCAGGACCGCCACGGGCAGAACAGACAAAUGGCUCUAAAGGGACAGCCAAAGCACCGCAACAGGGGAGGGGUCCUCAGGCCCAGCCAACGCCAGGACCUGGACCUGCAGGUGUGAAGGCUGGAGCCAGGCCUGGAGGAACCCCAGGGGCUCCCACCAGCCAGCCAGGUGCCGAUGGGGAGAGCGUGUUUUCCAAGAUCCUCCCUGGCGGGGCAGCAGAGCAAGCUGGCAAACUGACGGAAGCUGUCUCUGCUUUUGGCAAAAAAUUUUCCUCAUUCUGGUGACCAUGCCCAGCAUGGCUCUUGAAGAAAUGAAGAGAGGUAUCAUUGCUGUGGAAAAAUCUCUGGAGUCAGAGGUCUGGGCGCAGCUCUGGACUCUGCGUAUAACACGGGCUUCCUGCAGCUUUCCACUCAGCCGAUGUUUCCUUGGAGUUGCCCUGGAACAGAUGUGAAAUCACAAGUGGUGCUAAGAGGAGGGGAAGGAGGGACAGCCCAUGGCCUGGAUUCAUGGCAGUACCUACCUUGGGUUUGGGGCCAGGGUAUGGUUCCUGAACAGGGAAAGGAAGCACAGACACAGCUUUGUUCUGCGUCCUGCCACAUGGUGUGGGUGGGCCACUGAGACCACUCACCUUAUAGUUAAAGAAAUCUCCCUCAAAUUCUAGCAUUCGGCUAAUGAUUGGGUCAAGUGGACAGUGCUGCCGUGAGUAUCCCUCUCCUGAAGUUCUUUAUGACAAUUUCAGAGAUGGGCUUGGAGAGGUUUGCCAUUUCAAACCAAAUCCCAUCUCCAUCACUCUUAAGGCAAAAAAAAAAAAGGAACUUUUGUUACAUUAAAAGAAGUGUCCCUUCCUGGCUGACCUGAUUCUUCUUUCUUGCUGUCCUCUCUGUGACCUCCAACCUGCCCAAGCACCCAUUUCCCCAAGCCUAAGUGGCAUGGCACCUCAUGGGUGAGGAGGUGGCCACUGGCACAGGCAGAUGGCUGAGAGAAAUGUGAGGGUGAGAAGCAGCUAUCUACAGUUCUUGACAGAAUCCUUUCUUUUCUUCUUUCCUUCCUCCCUCCCUCCUUUUCUCUUUCAAGCAUCUACAAUCUGGCACACCCUUGGCCCAAAGACUCACCAGGUGGGACAUGGCAGGCAGGCCUCAGUUGAGGACGUGAUGUUUUCUCACAGCAGCUGCCUGGGUGAAGCAUCUACUGGACAAGUUGGACCAUUGGCCGGGGGACCUUUAAUUGUCUUUCCAGAGAUGCUGCUCUCUGCAGGGCACCACCUUCAAGGCACAGCUCUCGUUGGGAGGGAGGACCCUCUCUAGAAACCCUGCCACCACGUUGUCUUGCCGUACUUCCCACAGCCGCCUUUUUGCGGCUUGGCCGGCCAGGCUUCCAAUGCGUUAUACACAGAGUUUGGGCACACACUGCCCUCCCUCCGAGAUGCCAGAAGUUUUUCCACAGCCUUGGAGCGGGGCUUUGACUGAGGGCUGGGGCCCCCCAGCUCCGUUUCCUUCACAUUCCAGCUGGCCCGGAUCCCUCUGUGGCACAGGGCCCUGCCCCUGUCACCUGCCCUCUGGGUGACAUCGGAGCAGACCUCCAUGUGGCCAGCAUGGGGUUGGGAGAACUUUACAAACAUUAGGACCUAACACUGUCUCAUCGCUGAAAUAAGAGGCCAUAGCACCGAAAAGCAGCAUGGGCGCCGGCUGAGGCUUCUCCCAGCCCGUGGGUGGCAGCGUGCUAGCACACUGCCACCAUUUCAAAGCCAUCCCCCUAGCCAUCGUGAGCAUCCCAGCGGCACCACCAUUGUCUCAACCAGCCGGCUCCUCAUCCGUACACCUGGGGAUUUCUUUUGAUUUCAAGAACAGCCUUAAUCAUUCCAGUUUGAUUUACGUGUAUACCUCAUAAACAUUUUUCUUUUGUUUCUCUCUUCCCCUUUCUCUCUUCUCUUGGCUCACUCCCUUGCCUCUCCCCCUCCAACACCACCUUGUGACUGAUGGUUCGGUUUCCUCUCUGCUCUGCCCCUGCUCAGCACAGGGAGAAUGCUGACUUAGAAGCAAUAGGGGGCAGCAGGCCACCAAGAGCACAACCCCAGGGCGAGGUCUAGGGAGGCCCCCCAGCCUGCCUCUGUUUACUGUGCAAUUCCAGUCCUUCUUAAGCCAUCACCAGUGGGUGUACUCAGAGCAGAGGGGCCAGGACUUCUGCCAGCCAAGGGAAAGGCCCAGAGCCCUGUACGGGGGAAUGUGGCACUCUCUAUCCAUCUGGUGGACUGGGCGGCAUUCCUCCCCAAGGCCCUUCCCUUGGGGGCCUCCUUUCAUCUGGGGCACAGCCACAAGUCUCAUCUCUAACGUUCUAUGCAAUGAAAUAUAAACCCUCAAUGACAACUGUUAAUAUUUAAUAAAUUCCAUGUUAUGUAUAAGGAGUUAAUUGCAAACACGCAAUUGAGAAACUGGAUAGAUAAGCUCAUAUCACCCCCACCCCCCUACCCACCCCUGCUCCCAUUGUGUGUGUGAAAUUCUCAGUCUGUGGCAUGUUUGACCUGUGGCAGGACUCGCUGCUGCCAGGUGAGUCACCGCCUGUCCCGCAGUGGAGCAUGCACAGCUCGCAGCCUCUUUGCACGAUUUCAUCCAUUUUAAAUGCUCGACCCUCUUGCUUGGAGUUCUUUUUGCCUCAGAACCUCUCCUUCAGGAGCACUUCUAGUUGACUUCUGCACAAGCUAGUGAGGACCUGCCAGAAUUGUUGCCUGAGCGUGCCAGGCUGCAGGGCAGGCAGUACAAGGCCCCCACAUACCCUGCAGUUUUCUCUGUCCAGGAUAGCAGGUAAAAAGGAGUCCCCAGAGCAGACUCAAUGGUAGGAGCCUGCACAGGAUGUGUGUGUAUGGACAUUCUGAAGGUUUGCUGUAGGAUUUCUGUCUGUCUGUCAUUUUUCCCUUCCUACCCCAACCCUGAGCCAGAGGCAUCUGACAGCCCUUUCCCAGAGGGCACUACACAAGGGCAGAGCUGGGCAGCAUCCAUGGCCAGAGAGGCAGAGGCAAGAGUAGAGCCAGGCUGUGCCUGAGGGACCCCAGCUCUAGAUUGCACCUGUUUCAUGCCUCUCCUCUGUGGCUAGGAGGCUCAAAGGACUGUAAGGCAGGAGAUCUGGGCUGGAGCUAGGGGGUCAAAGGAUGCUCAGGAAGAGCUGGGCCUUUGGCACUUGUGGUGAGAACAGUUGACAAUGGUCAUCUGCAACUGUUCAUAUAAACAAUGGCUUCAAGCUAAGUUUCUUGUGAAGUUUCUCAAUAGCAAAUCUUACAGAAGGUCCUGUGUGACCCUCUCUGCAUCUGUCCCCAAGAUCUAUGCUCCCUGCCCACCCCCUUCUCCAAAGCCCAAGCGUCCCGCUGCUCAUCAGCUUUUUUUUACCACUGAGCCAGGAGUGUGACAGGCAGUAGCUGCCUGGCCCUUCAAGGCCUGACCUUCAUCCAGAGUGCUCUGGUUUGCACGAUGCAUUUCUCAGGGGUCCGCAUUUCUCAUGCUUUUCUAUAAGGUCUACACAUCCCUUCAGAGAGGGCUCCUCACUCACCUCUGGUAGCUAUGGAUGGGACAGGAAGCUGCCAACCUUUGUGUUGGACUUAACAACCUUGCCUUUCUGGAACUUGACCUCACCCAACCCAUGGAAUACCUGCCUCAUCCCAGAGAUCAGGUAUGGACUGAAUGCAGCCAUCUGAGCAAGGGCUGAGGGAAGCCAUCAUCUAACACCUCUGGCCACCCAGGACCAGGUCUGUGUGGGGAUGUGCCUUGGAGACCAAGGCAAUAGUCCUUUCCAUUACAGGCCAGGGGAUGGGACAAGAAGCAGGGAACAGGCAGGGAAAUGUUAGGAGGUCAGCCUCCAGCAGGCCCAGUCUCAACGCUCUAAAGUACUGACUUUUCAGCAAAUUUCCUUACUGGCAAAGCCCUCUGAGUUGGAAAUUCUGACAUCUGCCACUCCUCAUCCCUCACUGUACCCACAGGAUACAUCAUCGCCCCUCUGUGAAGGUGGCUGGAGCAGGCCUCUGGUCCAUGGACUGUCCUUCCUGGCCCUUGCAUGGAUGCAGUUGUGACUCUGGGGACAAUGCAGCCAGAAGCUGAGGGACCAGCAUUCGGUGCCUUGGAAAGUAGAGAGCAACAGACACAUCUCCAAAUGGGCAAGGAGUCUCUAGCAUGCAGCCCAGGCCUUCUCCAUACCCCUCUCCCCAGCAUCAUGAGCAAGGGCAUUGCCUCCUCUCUCUGCCCACUUCAGGGCCCAGUGCACUCACUUCACAGUGACAGAUCUCCCCCUACCAUCAUCCUUUUAGUCCUUGGGCAGAGCAUGUGGUCUCAGGGCCCACAGUGAAAGAACAGCAGUGGUGGCAACUAUGCCUUGUCUUCUGGAGCCUGUAGGGAGUUUUCCAGGCAGGUCCUUUGCCAUGACAGCAUGGUCUGGCCCUGUUGGCCCCUCCCCUCUCCUGUUACCCACCCCCGUGCUGUAAAUACUUGUCAUCAUGGACUCCAACAGGGUCAGAGGGACAGGCCUAAUCAACUGAAACUCCUCGGAGAUGCCAUCUCUGUCUCCCUGGGUGCCAGCAGCCCUGCUGCCAUGUGCACUGGGGUGGCACUGGAGAGCCAUGGAAGUUGUGAGAUAUUGUGUGUAUAUGCACAUGACGUGUGUGUGUGUGUGUGUGUGUGUGUGUGUGUGUGUGUGUAUGUUUCUGCCUCAUUCAGUUUCCGGGGUGAAAUCAGCUCCUUUUCUCCAAAUGCACUACCCUGGAGAGUGGUGGCCACUCAAUACCUUUUCCUCUAGCUUUCAUGUCUUGUUUUUGCUUUCCCCUUCCUCCUCCCUCUCUCCCUUUCUUUCCUUCUCUCCUUUAUUUGAGGGGGGAAGAGUGCUGUACAAAGUCAAACAAACAAGUUUACAGUUGUAAGUGCAAUGACCCGAGUCCUCCACAUGACCUUGUGAAUUGUGUGCUGUCCUCCUGUGCUCUGUGAGAACUCGUGGUACUUCAGUGUCCCUCCCCCUGUAUUGUGACAAGGUAAUUCUGUGGUAUCAGAAUAAAAGGACUUGACAUAAACAAUCUA